GUUCCGAGGCGGUGCCGGCUGCGGUGAGGCCCCGCCAUGGCCCCGCUGAAAGUGCACGGCCCCGUGCGGAUGCGCAGCAUGCAGACUGGCAUCACCAAGUGGAAGGAGGGCAGCUUCGAGAUCGUGGAGAAGGAUAACAAAGUCAGCCUGGUGGUCCACUACAACGUGGGGGGCAUCCCCAAGACAUUCCAGCUAAGCCAUAACAUCAAGUCUGUGACCUUACGGCCCAGUGGCAGAAAGCUGUGCUGCCUGAUGCUGACGCUGAAGGAUACCAGCUUCCUGACCAUUGAUAAGGUACCGCUUAAAGACGCGAAUGAGAUGCGGAUGUAUUUGGAUGCGGUCCAUCAAGACAGGCUUCAUACUGCUGGGAAACCCUCUCAGGGAUCUGGCAGCUUUGGAGGUGUGCUGGGCAGCAGGACCACACAGAAGGAAGCUAAUAGGCAAUUCUCUUAUAUAGAGAAUCAGGCUCCUCCCAAAAGGGUGACUGUGGAAACUAAGGAUGAAAAUCCAUUCCGCAAGGUGCUGGGCACCCCAGCUCGGGCAUCUGUUAAGAACUCCAGUGGAACUGGAGCACCUGGCAACAGGGGGAAUGUUGCAGCAUCUCCAGCGUCAUCAGUCGCUCACAGAACAGGCUUGCUGGAGAGCCGUGAAAAGAGGAAAAGAGCACAACCUCCAAGUUCAGAAAUGAGUGAAGAUUAUCCCAAAGAGAAUGAUUCUUCGACGAAUAAUAUAGCUAUGAGUGAUCCAGCAUGGAAAUACUUAAACAGUAGCAGAGAGAAACAGUUAAAACUGAAGCAAGAGGAGGAAAAUAGGACGUCAGGUGUUUUACCGCUGCAGUCGUCAUCCUUUUAUGGUAGCAGGUCCUCAUCAAAAGAGUACUCCACUAGCAGUUCCACCCUGGACAGGUCUAGUGUAUCCAGCCAGACUACUUCAGCCAAAAGAAGCCUGGGAUUUCUUUCUCAACCUGCCCCUCUUUCUGUUAAGAAAAUGAGAUCUAAUCAAGAUUACACAGGGUGGAACAAACCCAGAGUGCCCCUUUCCACCCACCCUCAGCAGCAAUUACAAGGGUUUUCUAACUUAGGAAACACGUGCUAUAUGAAUGCCAUUCUACAGUCCUUGUUUUCAAUCCAAUCCUUUGCUAACGAUUUGCUCAAGCAGGGCAUCCCAUGGAAGAAGAUUCCACUCAAUGCGCUUAUCAGACGUUUUGCCCAUCUCUUGGCGAAAAAGGAUGUCAGCAGCCCUGAGGUUAAGAAGGAGUUGCUCAAGAAGGUGAAAAGUGCCAUUUCAGCUACUGCAGAGAGAUUCUCUGGGUAUAUGCAGAAUGAUGCACAUGAGUUCUUGAGCCAGUGUCUGGACCAGCUGAAAGAGGACAUGGAAAAGUUGAACAAGACUUGGAAGAGUGAACCAGUCCCUAAUGACGAUAGCUCACCUGGGAGGGCUUCUGAUGAUCUUUCAGCUACCAAAGUUUAUACAUGCCCAGUUAUCAGUAACUUAGAGUUUGAGGUUCAGCAUUCUAUCAUUUGUAAAACAUGUGGUGAAACAGUCACCAAACGGGAACAGUUUAAUGACCUCUCCAUUGACCUUCCUCGAAGAAAGAAGUUGUUUCCAUCUCGGUCGAUCCAGGAUUCCCUUGACCUCUUCUUUCGGGCAGAGGAAAUUGAGUAUUCCUGUGAGAAAUGUAAUGGGAAGUCUGCUGUUGUCACACAUAAAUUCAAUCGGCUUCCCAGGGUCCUGAUUCUUCAUCUGAAACGAUACAGCUUCAAUGUAGCAUUGUCUCUCAAUCACAAAGUUGGGCAACAGGUGGUUAUUCCGAGAUACUUAACCCUGCUUUCACACUGUACAGAAAGCACCAGGCUGCCACUGACACUGGGCUGGAGUGCUCAUUCUGCAAUUUCCCGUCCACUGAAAGCCUCCCAAAUGGUGAAUUCCUGUACUAUAAGCACUUCUACACCGAGUAGAAAAUAUACUUUCAAAUCAAAGAGCUCUGCAGCACUCGGUGUGGAUUCAGACAGCGAUGAUGAGCCCCUGAAACGUUCUGUUGCCAAUAGCCAAAGGUUGUGCAACAUACAGAACAGAGAUCAGCAACAACUGCAAGAAGAGCCAGAAAAGAGUUCAAAACGAAGUAAAAUGGAGGGCGAUAAACCUGAGCUGGGCAAUGCUGGUUUUGAUGGCAUGAGUGAAGAUGAGCUGCUAGCAGCUGUCUUAGAGAUCAGCAAAAGGGAAGCUUCUCUGUCUCUGAGCCAUGAUGAGGAUAAGCCCACAAGCAGCCCAGACACUGGGUUUGGAGAUGAUGAAAUUCAGGAGUUGCCUGAAAACCUGGAAACGAUGGAGACAGAAAAACCCAAAGCGCCAUCAGAGUCAGGUCCUGCCAAUUUCACUGAGAUAACUAAAGACUUCGAUGAGAAUAAGGAAAACAAAACUCCGGAAGGCUCCCAGGGAGAGGUUGACUGGCUGCAGCAGUACGAUAUGGAGAGAGAGAGGGAAGAACAAGAACUUCAGCAAGCACUGGCUCAGAGCCUUCAAGAACAAGAGGCACGAGAACAAAAAGAGGAUGAUGACCUUAAGCGAGCUACGGAAUUAAGUCUACAAGAGUUUAACAGCUCUCUCCUGGACAGCGUUGGCUCUGAUGAGGACUCUGGGAAUGAGGAUGUGCUUGACAUGGAGUACUCAGAAGCUGAAGCAGAAGAGCUGAAAAGAAAUGCUGAGACAGGAGAGCUGCCUCACUCCUAUCGCCUCAUCAGCAUUGUCAGCCACAUUGGAAGCACAUCAUCUUCAGGUCACUAUAUCAGCGAUGUCUAUGAUAUCAAGAAGCAGUCCUGGUUCACCUACAAUGAUCUGGAGGUGUCUAGAACUUUAGAAGCCACUGUCCAGUGUGACAGAGACCGGAGUGGCUACAUCUUCUUCUACAUGCACAAGGAUAUCUUCGAUGAAUUACUAGAAACAGAGAAAAGUGCACAGCCACUUAGCGUGGAAGUAGGCAGAUCGAUCCGUCAGCCGCUGUGAGGAGUCCAACACCUCGUACCUCUUGAGGAGCACAGAAAAUCCUGAACUUGUGCCAGACAUGCAGGAGUAACAAACAGCUCAGGGCCAAAACAACAGACACAUGGUAGAAAUACGGAUGCUCACAUUUUGCACAACCAUCUGUGCAAGUCUUCGGCCCGAACCACAGUUGUCAACCUUGACAUCCCGGAGCGAUGCUCCUGUGGUGAAGUUUUUAUUGUUCCUCAAACGAUUUUGUCAGCAUGGAGCCUUAAAGAGUUGCAUCAAGCCACGAGACUACAGCUGCUCACAGACUGAUUUAAAAGGAAAAAUGUGCAAAAAGAGACUCAUCUUCAAAAGCCCAUUCACCGGCCAGAUCUCGGCAGAAUUGUGGUUAAACAUUGACCUGCUCCUGAAUCAGCUUAGGGUAGUCAAAAUGUGAUUCAGCACGCAAACCCAAGGAACUGCCAUCUUGCUUUUCCUCCCUUCCUGCAUUGUAUGACUGCGAUGAUCCACGUUUGCUCCUCUGAUAGAUGUGAGAACGCUCGUGUCGGUGGACCGGAGCCUGUGCAGAGCAAGGACUGACUGGAGCAGCUUCAUGAGGAGCAGGGCUCUGAAGCUUGUGACUGUGCCAUCACCUUCCAUUUCUGCUCAGCACUGAUGAUAAAUGCCUGCUCACCUUCCCUCCCAUCCUGUGCAGCACAGUAACUGGGGUGCGUGUCCAGCACACUGCCCACAGCAGUCAGCGUUGCUGCGCUUCACCCUGACACCAGGCAUGUGGGGACUGUGUGCUGCAGUGAUGGAGGAGUUGAGGAGACUGGGAAGAACUCAACUGUUCUGUUUUCUUUUCAUGGAGCUAAGUAUCCCUGUAACUGCCUGCCAAAGAGAGAUAAAGGAGUGUGGGACCCCAGUGCUGCUGGGGUGCUGAGGGAUGUGCAGCUGAGGACCUGCUGCAGAGCCACCCCAUCCCAGGGUUGAUAUCUGCCUGCUUGCAGCCUGACUUCUGGUUCUUUACACUGUUGAUGUGGAGCAGCUUUUCUCUGUGUUUUAGCAGACCUGUUCCUCUCUUAUUCUUUACAGAUUUUGCUCAUGUUUCCCUCCCCCUGCCUUUUAAACAAUGUGUAGAUAGAUUUUUUUUUUUUUUUUUUUUUUUUUUUGUGAAAUUAAAACCUUUAUUAGCCCUC